GGAGAUUCAUAGACUCGCAAAGGGGGGGCUUGGUGGUCCCACUCCUCCCACUUGUAACAUGAGACCGCUGACCAUACACCAUGGUGCUUAAUAUCUGUUCCCUGAAUGCCAAGGGGCUCAAUUCUCCACACAAGAGGCGCUUAGCGCUAAAGGAGGCUAAAUCCCUAGAUGCCCAUAUGGCAUUCUUUCAAGAAACACAUUUUAAAUGGGGCCAACGUCCAAAAUUUACUUCCACAGCAUACCCCAUAGACUACCAUGCUUGCUAUGCAAAAAAAAAAAAGAGGAGUGUCCAUCUUAAUAAGCAAAGAUGUGGCUUUCUCCCUAGUUCGCAAACUUGGAGACAAAAAAGGCAGAUAUAUAGUGUUACAAUGCUAUGUUAACAACAACCC